UGGGGAAUAUUGCACAAUGGGGGAAACCCUGAUGCAGCGACGCCGCGUGAGUGAAGAAGUAUUUCGGUAUGUAAAGCUCUAUCAGCAGGGAAGAAGAAAGACGGUACCUGAGUAAGAAGCCCCGGCUAACUACGUGCC
rnacentral:rRNA from 1 species